UAUUGGAAUAUUUUCGCUGUACGAUUGGCCACUCUGCUCAGGCAUGGCCGUGCAGUAGCUCAAGGUCAGACGGUGACAUGUUGUCAGAGCGCUUCAGUUGUCUGUUUGUGCCGCGUGAGUCUGGUGUAAAGAUGUCUGUUCUAUUAGAGAUUUGUAAAAGGCCACGUUGCUUCUUUUGGUGUAGGAAGGAAUAAGCAGUGUUCGCCUCAGUGAAGCGUGUACGAGAAGAUCGAAAUGUUUAAAAGCAGCCGAACCAAUGGUGUUUAUGCAACAGGUGGAGGGAAAGUGCACUGAUUGGCUGCGGGGGAUCUAGCUCCUGGUAAGUAUCGUCAUGGAUUUCUCCAACUGUUGGGUGAAGUUGCUUCCAAAUGAG